CUUGGUCAUUUAGAGGAAGUAAAAGUCGUAACAAGGUUUCCGUAGGUGAACCUGCGGAAGGAUCAUUACAGUAUUCUUUUUGCCAGCGCUUAAUUGCGCGGCGAAAAAACCUUACACACAGUGUUUUUUGUUAUUACAAGAACUUUUGCUUUGGUCUGGACUAGAAAUAGUUUGGGCCAGAGACUUACUGAACUAAACUUCAAUAUUUAUAUUGAAUUGUUAUUUUAUUUAAUUGUCAAUUUGUUGAUUAAAUUCAAAAAAUCUUCAAAACUUUCAACAACGGAUCUCUUGGUUCUCGCAUCGAUGAAGAACGCAGCGAAAUGCGAUAAGUAAUAUGAAUUGCAGAUUUUCGUGAAUCAUCGAAUCUUUGAACGCACAUUGCGCCCUCUGGUAUUCCAGAGGGCAUGCCUGUUUGAGCGUCAUUUCUCUCUCAAACCUUCGGGUUUGGUAUUGAGUGAUACUCUUAGUUGAACUAGGCGUUUGCUUGAAAUGUAUUGGCAUGAGUGGUACUGGAUAGUGCUAUAUGACUUUCAAUGUAUUAGGUUUAUCCAACUCGUUGAAUAGUUUAAUGGCAUAUUUCCUGGUAUUCUAGGCUCGGCCUUACAAUACAACAAACAAGUUUGACCUCAAAUCAGGUAGGACUACCCGCUGAACUUAAGCAUAUCAAUAAGCGGAGGA
rnacentral:rRNA from 1 species